CGCUGGAACAGUCGGUUAGAAGCUUACACCCACCCGUGUUUACAUACUAUUGUUGCUUUGGCGGGCCGUGGCCUCCACUGCGGGCUCUGCUCGUGUGUGCCCGCCAGAGGACCAAACUCUGAAUGUUAGUGAUGUCUGAGUACUAUCUAAUAGUUAAAACUUUCAACAACGGAUCUCUUGGUUCUGGCAUCGAUGAAGAACGCAGCGAAAUGCGAUAAGUAAUGUGAAUUGCAGAAUUCAGUGAAUCAUCGAAUCUUUGAACGCACAUUGCGCCCUGUGGUAUUCCGCAGGGCAUGCCUGUCGAGCGUCAUUUAACCACUCACGCCUAGCGUGGUAUUGGGGCACGCGGUCUCGCGGCCCUCAAAAUCAGUGGCGGCGCCGGUGGGCUCUAAGCGUAGUACAUACUCCCGCUAUAGAGUUCCCCCGGUGGCUCGCCAGAACCCCCAAUCUUUUACAGGUUGACCUCGGAUCAGGUAGGGAUACCCGCUGAACUUAAGCAUAUCAAUAAGCGGAGGAAAAGAAACCAACAGGGAUUACCUCAGUAACGGCGAGUGAAGCGGUAACAGCUCAAAUUUGAAAGCUGCCAACAGGCCGCGUUGUAAUUUGUAGAAGCUGCUUUGGGUGUCGGCCCGGUCUAAGUUCCUUGGAACAGGACGUCAUAGAGGGUGAGAAUCCCGUAUGUGAUCGGUGCCGUUGCCCGUGUAAAGCGCUUUCGACGAGUCGAGUUGUUUGGGAAUGCAGCUCAAAAUGGGUGGUAAAUUUCAUCUAAAGCUAAAUAUUGGCCAGAGACCGAUAGCGCACAAGUAGAGUGAUCGAAAGAUGAAAAGCACUUUGGAAAGAGAGUUAAACAGUACGUGAAAUUGUUGAAAGGGAAGCGCUUG
rnacentral:rRNA from 1 species